rnacentral:tRNA from 1 species
GCGGCAUCGUAUAAUGGCUAUUACCUCAGCCUUCCAAGCUGAUGAUGCGGGUUCGAUUCCCGCUGCCCGCUCCA